ACUUAAAUAGCUUAUUUAGAGCAUAGCACUGAAAAUGCUAUGGAAAUAUUUUUAUAUUUUUAGGUA
rnacentral:tRNA from 1 species